AUACAGAAUGAAUUAUACAAUACUUAUAGUGACAAAAGAUAUACUUAACUCAAUUCAAGCAUGAUUGCGUGAGACUUGGAUCGCAAGAAUGCCUAUGUACGUGUUCAGGAGCACGAUAUAUGUAAUAUACUUCUCGGGUUCGACGGCACCAAGGUCGAGAUUACCAGCGUUGAUGUGAUCAACUCAGUCACUAAGGUUACUGAAAAUAUGGAUCGCAUGUAUUAAUACACGUCAUCAUCCUGAUGAAUCGGUUACCUACUUUAUAUCUACAAAACGCGAAUUAUCAUCAUGAGUCGACUAAUUAUCAUCGAUACAUUAAUACUCUUUCCAUGUACCUUAUAGUGUUUAUACUCAUUAUUUAAGGUAUUUUCUAUGACUAAUUAAUUUCAAUACUUACAUCAUCUUUUUUUGCAGACUUUCUUGGUAAACAAAAAUUAUGCAGUUGUUGACAGUUUCAAGAAUAUAACAACUGUAUACAUAUAUUGCUUCAAUAAAUGGAUAAAAUCGGCCAAUCAUUCAGAGAAGUUGGCGUAAUAUUGACUUAUGAAUACUGAGAGAAUAUGAGAAAGAGAAAAAAUUUGUUCAUUAAUGUUUCAUCAGAAGAUUUUAUGUCACCAUUAAGUAAAAAAGGUGUAUAUUCCACUGAUACAAACAAUGAUGAGUAAAUAAAAGAACAUACGUGACUGUUAUCUGUCCUCGAUAAAAUGCUCAAGUGACCAAGUAUCAUUGUUGACCGUAAGAACCUCAGCUGUUUUUUUUUUCUUCAUGAUAUUUUUCUGUUAAUUUAAAACAAUUUCGCUGACUGAUAUCACGUAUUUAAUAUUCUUACAGUAAUCAUUGGGAAAUUAACGAUAGCAGUAUCAAUUCUAUCUUGCGAUAAUCCUCAGGCGAUCGCGAAUGAGUGAAGGCGUUCAUCGAUAAGUCGACCGCAUUCCUGUAUGAUGGUGUAACAUUGCUGAAAGAAUUGCCAUUUCCAGAAGUUUGUCUAUUUUCCAGCUUCAUGUUUCUACAGACCAACUUAAUAUUUUGCAAUCCAACUAGAGGUUAGCGUCAGUUGUAGCAGACCAAGCAUACACAUGAUCAAGACAUUAUCAAACGCAACAAGACCUAAAGAAGCCAAUAGAUAUAGUGUAAAAGACCGGAUACGCUGGAGAAUAGUGGUAUGACCUCGUGGAAGGUUAGGAAUACCAUCCAUUCACCGUGACAUCCGUUGGUUUGUGGAUGGAGUUUAUCAGACACUUUCAUGGAUUAUACUGCUUAAUAGUAUAGCCUCUAUGUAUCUCUUAGGGAUUCACAGUGACAAAUACAUCCGGACGUAAGAUGCUUGUCUGCUUUAUGAGAUAUAAUCGUUUAUGCUUUCAUCCGUUAUGACGUUGAUAUUUGAGUAAACUUCAUAAAUAAAAAUCCCAACUCUUAAUCGGAUUUUUUUUUAUUCAACUCAAAUAACAGAUCAAAUAAUGAUUACAAAAACAAAGUUAAAAAAAGGACAAAUUGUUAGUUAACUGAUUUAUUACCAAGAAGAGAAUCCUUGGAAGUCGGCUGCUGCAACAAAAUGUCAUGGUUUGCAAUCAAAGCUGGUAAGGCUAAUGCACGAGUGACUUUGCUUGAACAUUAGCAUGCUUGUACAGACAUUUGUGCACAUGCCACGCAUCUUACUGUGUGCGUUUUACCUUCAGAAUGUCUGGUACCGUACCUCUGGCCAGCCAAUGAACUGUUUAAAAGUAUCCAGCCGGUUUUAAAAUUUUUUUAACCAUUAAACUUGUCUAUUAUCAUUUUCUACCUUCACAAUUCAUUGAAUUUCAUCAUUCUUUCGUUAAUAUAGAUAU
rnacentral:lncRNA from 1 species